UACGGGGGGAGCAAGCGUUGUUCGGAUUUACUGGGCGUAAAGGGCGCGUAGGCGGUCAGCACAAGUCAGUUGUGAAAUCUCCGGGCUUAACUCGGAAAGGUCAACUGAUACUGUGCGACUAGAGUGCAGAAGGGGCAACUGGAAUCCUCGGUGUAGCGGUGAAAUGCGUAGAUAUCGAGAGGAACACCUGCGGCGAAGGCGGGUUGCUGGGCUGACACUGACGCUGAUGCGCGAAAGCCAGGGGAGCGAACGGG
rnacentral:rRNA from 1 species